GAUAAACGCUGGCGGCGCACAUAAGACAUGCAAGUUGAACGGACUUAAUCGAAAUAUUUAUAUUUUGAAGCGGUUAGUGGCGGACUGGUGAGUAACGCGUAAGGAACCUGCCUAUUAGAGGGGAAUAACAGUGAGAAAUCAUUGCUAAUACCGCAUAUGCCGUAGAUAUCACAUGAUAACAGUGGGAAAGGAGCAAUCCGCUAAUAGAUGGCCUUGCGUCUGAUUAGAUAGUUGGUGGGGUAACGGCCUACCAAGUCGACGAUCAGUAGCCGGACUGAGAGGUUGAACGGCCACAUUGGGACUGAGAUACGGCCCAGACUCCUACGGGAGGCAGCAGUCGGGAAUAUUGCGCAAUGGAGGAAACUCUGACGCAGUGACGCCGCGUAGAGGAAGAAGGUUUUCGGAUUGUAAACUAUUGUCGUUAGGGAAGAGAAAGGACAGUACCUAAGGAGGAAGCUCCGGCUAACUACGUG
rnacentral:rRNA from 1 species